GCAGUAAUGUUGCGACUUGAAAGGGUUAAUGAAGCUUCCCUAACAUCUGCCUUAUAACCAGACAGACAUUUAUUUAUCAGAGACUCUGGCUGAAUAAAAUCUGUAGAAGCUUCUCCAGAUUUCAAUUUUUAAAGAACGUUUCCUGGCGGAGAUAAGAUCUUCACUAAAAAGAUAAAUCUAUGUCCUGCCAUAUGUACAAUGAGGAAAGAACAGAAGUCUUCUCCAAAGCACAAUAGAUUGAUCAGAAGAAUGGUCUCAUGAGCUAGAUGAUCUCAGUAGCUCUGAGGCCUCCUUCCCAUAACAGUGAACCUGAUUCCCAAGACAAAAUAGAGGGCUCCAACCAAGAGGGAGAGAAAACGAAAACCUGAGACUUGAGGCUCUCUCUUCAAGCCGUUGAAUGGGAUAAUGCUACCAAGGCUAUGUAUGAAAGAGGGCUGGAGACGCAUGAGUGUCUGCAGCUCACACUGGCUUCAAGCCAUCAUCUGCCUCAUCAGAUCAGCCAUUCAAUUAUCCAAAAUAUUGUGUGUUACCUAUUCAGUCAUCAUCCAGCCUGGAGGCAUCUGAAUAAGGAAAAAAAUGCUUUCCAUUAUCAAGAUAUGGCAUCGAUUUUCAGGUGUACAAUAUAAUGAUUCAACAAUUCUACCUAUCCAUUACUCAGUGCUUGCUUAUCAAGAACUUUUAACAUUCCCCUUCAAGCUGGCAUCAGGCUUUCCAAAGUCCUGACAACUUAUCGCACCCCAAUUCGGACUCAGGAUUUUCUCUACCCACCUAUCCACCCCUUAGAGACAAGUUUGUCAAGGUCAAAAGAUCAGGUGAGUACCAAUCACUUCCACCCUGCCAUCCUCCUCACCAGCGCUAAGCCUCGCCAAAGAAAACAGCCCCACGCUAGGAUUCUUUAUGACACGCUGAGCAAAGGCCACAGAUUGCUAAACAUUGCUAAGUAGAUCUGAAAUGAAUGAAGUCAUCUAGCUCUGUGCAUAACCCAGUCUCUCAGUCUGUCAGCAUAAACAUAUUUUCCUACAAAACUAAUAAAAAUCUGGAGGUCAGCUAAGACCACCAUGUUUUUCAUCAUUACCACGAUCAUCCAAAACCUAAACCCCUCCAGGUAAUUCCCCUUCGCUACUGCACUCUGAUCUCGUUUUCUGCUAGGUACUCUCCCCCUCCUCAACCACCAUCCAGUCCUCCCGUAGCUCUACUUCCUGAGGACCCUUUAUACUGUUCCCCUGUAAACAAAUACCCGAAGCCUUGAACCAAUCUGAGCACCAUUCCAGCAGUCUUCUUGUCUAAACUAAAAUCUGACCGCAGCUAUUCUUUCUGCCCUCAGCAAACGCACAGCACGGAAGUCAGUCCUUGUUCACCAUCGAGGUUCUGCACCCUCAUGUACCUCUUUAGAGGCACCCUCAAGGUACUCCUUUUGAGGCACCCUCAAAGUACCUCUUUUGAGGUGUCUGUCCUAUUCCUACCUCUCUCUCCUUGUUUCUGUCAUCAACUGACCUCUUAGUCACUUUCCCACAUCCACCAAAGACUUUGGAAUCUAGUUCAGAAUCUUCCCAGCCCUUGCUCAAGAAGCAUUCUGAGCAAUUCACUUUCUAUGAAGCUGACUCCUCUGCCCCCGAGCUUUACACCUCCCUUAUCUGCUCAACCCCAGUAACCUUCACUUUCUCUGCUUCAGAAACCCAUUCCAUAGCCAGCUCUAGCAUUCAGUCAUAACCAGCAACUGCUCCUCCUAGUUAAGCUUCAAUUUAACUUAAUCUUAAAUUCCAGCAUCCAGUCUCAACCACUUCACAUCCCAGCAGCCACUUUCUGGUUUCGGUUGUUCCCUAGUUUGCCUCGAGUCAAUGGCCCAUCACUUCAAACACCUUCACUGCUGGAAUCUCUUGCCUCCCUUUCUGCCACACUGGCUCGUUAAAUCCAGACCAAGAUCAAUCUACUCGUUCAACUUGUCUGCUCAGACGCUCGGGCUGCUGAGCCCUGAGAUGCGGGGGUGGGGGGGUUGGGGGGGAGAUCACUCACACAGCUACAUACACCAGACCCAAGAAAAAUGUGUCAUUACAAUUCUUCUACGUAAUUCUGUUCAGUUAGCCCUCUCAUUUCCCCCAAUGGCUUUCUCAAAACUCUCCCUUUCUCCCCAAACUCUCCCCUACAGUCACCAUCUCCUUCCCCUAUAAUCUCAGCUAAUGACUUUAUCCCCCUCACCUCACUGGAAAAAUUCAUCAAGUGUACUGAGGCCCCAAAUUCCUCACCUAUCCCCCAAACACUUCUUUGUUGACCCCAUCUCUCCUUCCAUUAUCCCCAUGUCAGUGAAAAUUAUAUUCCUACUCCUACUCAAACCCUGUAACUUUACUCCAUUCUCUCUAAUCCUAAGGAUAAUGUUCAGCCAAACUCACAUACCUCCUUCUUCCUGUAUCACUUCUCCUUUCUGAAUUCUCCUGUGAAGCAUAUAACCAUACUUACGUCUCUCUCAUCUGGAUACAACAUGUGCCCUACCUACUAUCCUUCAAGCUUUUGGAAAAGAAUGUCUGCACUGUCUCCAACUCUCUUACAACCAUUCACUCUUUGUCCUCAGCAACCUGGCUGUGUCUCCCCCACAGAGACUCCACUGACGUUUUUCUGCUAAAGACACUCCAUCAUCUCCUCGAUGCUCUGCCCUUACGUCAGUUGACCUAUUUUGAGACAUUUGACACUGCUCACCACUGUCUCUUAAGACUUCUCAGUUUUCAUUUAACAAUAUCUACGGGACACCUACUUUCUACAAGAACUGGGGAUAAAAUGAUGAGCCUGGCACAGUAAGCCCUCAAGGAACUUAGAGUCAGGUGGAGGAAGCUUCUACAAUCACACUCUUCUUUCAACCUCUCAGAUCACUCCUUCCUUUCUCUACUCAACGCUUAGAGACUCAUACUCCCUCGGGACUCCUUUCCUUGCUCUUCUCACAUCCAUCCUGGGAUUACCGUGUUCACACUGCCUACUCACUGAUGAUGACAAAAUACAGAUCUCUAGCUUAGAAGUCUAUCCUGAGCUCUGGACCCACUCACUCUCUAUGAAAAGAUACCAGUACUUCAAUAUCUCACUAUCUUGAUAGUAUCCUCUGAUGCACAAAAGUACUGAAUUUUGAUGAAGUCAAAUUAUCUAUU